rnacentral:misc_RNA from 1 species
AAAUGCGUUAAGUAGUGUGAAUUGCAGAAUUCAGUGAAUCAUCGAAUCUUUGAACGCACAUUGCGCCCCUUGGUAUUCCAUGGGGCAUGCCUGUUCGAGCGUCAUUUGUACCCUCAAGCUCUGCUUGGUGUUGGGUGUUUGUCCCGUCUCCGCGCGUGGACUCGCCCCAAAGUGAUUGGCAGCCGGCGUACUGGUCCCGGAGCGCAGCACAUGUCGCGCAAACGAGUGCCUUGGUACGGCGGCGUCCAUAAGCCCCUCUCUCACGCUCUUGACCUCGGAUCAGGUAGGGAUACCCGCUGAACUUAAGC